CUCAUUAUUCUUUCACAACCCUAAAGAAAUAGUUGCAGCUAUCUCUCCCUCCUACCGCCACCACCAAGAUCCCUCCUAAGUUCCACAAAAUCUCACCCAUUUCCCAUUCGCCCAUUCAUUGUUCACUCUAAAAACCCUAGCGGCCUUCCUCAUGUUUUCUCUGCAGAUUCAUAUGUUGAAGAGUUUUACAAUCACAAAACCCUAGCCUUCAUCAUCUUACGAUUCUAAUUCAAGACAAUGAUUAGGGUUUUCUUCUGAACACAAAGGAGUGUCGCUUUUUCAUUCAAUUUUGCUUACUGGAUGUAAUUUCGGUAGCCCGACAAGUAGAUAGGCUUUCUAAGCUUUCCUAGCGAAGUUGAAACUGUUGGUUAUGGCAUAGAGAUAUGGACAUAAAGAGAACCAGGGGGAUGUUGUGUUGCUGCCUUUUUUUUCUUCUGCUUUGGUUCUACGGCUGAGGUUUGUAUCCCGCUACCGAAUUUCACUGCCGGCAGAAGGCUGGAUUUAAAGAGCCACAACGCCGAGCCGUAUCCAUUGACUUAAUACAUUCAGGUUCAAUAAGCUGUUAGCCUGAUUCACAACAUGUUUAAGUGGCAUGGUUACAACUUUUUACCGUUCAUUCAGUUUGCUCCUUUAAGUUUCAGAUAUCCAAUAUGUGCAGGAUUUGAUAUUCGCUUAUGUGCAUGAUUUACGCUUUAGUUGCAUACUCGCUUUUAUUAUUAAGUGAACUAUUUUCACAAUUUCUUUUUGGCCGACUUUGAUUGUUUCAAUCAAUAGGUGUUUAGGAGUUGUGUGGAUGGUUAAAAGUAACAAUUGCAAGCAGCGUGGAGAGACAUAUCAUGGGAUCCAGCCAGGUUAUGUAGUUGGUUUUUCUUUUUAAAUUACUCUCAACAUUCCAUCAAUAUGCUAAACUAUUCAUACUUUUUUCUAUAAGCAAGAAAGAUUAAUUGUUCGAAUGUGUAAGAUGUUGUCUGAACAAAGAUUCAUUGUCUAAUGUGUAAGAUGUUGUCUGACCCACGGGUAAUCAAUGAACUCUACAAUAUUUAGAUGUCUUACUGAUCCAGGUUUGUACAUGCUUCCCAUCUCCAGUCUUACUUUCAUUACCACAAGAAACACGUUCAUCCGUCCCAUUAUAUUUGCAAAAAUUACCUUUUAAGUAUAGUUUAGAGCUUCAAUGUAUUUUGUUUUUAAUUAGUUUUCAUUGAAUGGAAGAAGUUAGAGAUGAUAAAAUGGGUGGGUUGAGUAACAGGUAGACAAUUUAGUCUAAACUUGUGGUAUUUUAGUAUGAGCUAAAAAAGGCUAGGGUUAACCCAUUGUCUAAAAACUUUCUUAAAUAUAUGCUGAUUUGGUACAUUUUGGAUGGUGUUGUUACAGGCUGACAAGUCUAUGUAGCAUAAGAUAGCAUCACGCCUUAAUGUGCAUUUUUUUUCACCCCAAAGUGUAUUUGAGUAAUAACUUUAGUGGUCUAAAAUGCUAUGAAGGAGACUCACUUUGAAAAUGAAAGAGAAUGUAACCAAGUUCCAUCGAGAAAUGAAACAAAGGCUGAAUACCGAAUGUGAAAAGGAAAUAGCGGAAAUUGUUGCUGAAAUAAGGCUCAAGUAUUCAGCUAAACAUGUAGAAGCAGAUGCAGCUUAUAACUCAAAAAAGAUGGAUCUUGAGACCAAUAUCAAUAGAGUAAUCUUGAACAGAUUAUUGGCCAAAGCUUUCAGAUGUAGGGGUCAAGACUCUCGGGCUGAAAUAAUGCAGCAACUGCCUAGGUUAUUGGUUUCACCUUCUGUGAGGAUUUUCCAUGGUCAGUCUUUAUGAAUCCAGCAGCCUCCACAACCACCAUCGUCACGGCCACCUCUUAAUGUAGUUCACAAACCAGCAGCUCUGUUCUCAACCACACCGAGCAGGCUACGACCACUACCUGCUCUCUUGCAUUAGCUACUAUACUGAUGUCACUCUUCUGAUCAACCGAUCGAGGCUCCUCUGUAUUUUCGCAGUACGCAACCCACAGGGCACCACUACUGUUCUAUGCCACGAACAAAGGCUUCACCAUGUCAUUAGUGGAGAAACGGUUCGGUGCUCCAUAUGAUACAACCUUUUUUCGCUUAGUAAUGAGGUUUACAAUGCAAUGCACUGAUGGAAAACAUCAUAAGAAACCUUGAUUUUGACUUCCGGAGGUUUUGGAAGAUGGUGUUAAAGUGCUUAUAUAUGUUGGAGAAGAUUUCUUUCUUUGCAGCCCGGCUUGCCAUUUAAGCGCUUCAGUGACGUUUUGGUCAGGUUUUGUGGUGGUUCCGGCUAAAGCAGCGGGUGAAAGACUUCCGCAUAUCACAGAGAGAUUCAAGAACAUUUAAUAUUGUUUUGUAAUGUUUUGAAUAUAUUUUGUUUGCUGUACUAAAUGAAUGAAACUAUGCGUGUAUUUGGACCACAUAGCACCUUGCUAUGUGAAAAAACUUCCCAAAAAAAAGAAGCCUACUUGGUUUCAAAAAAGGAGCAACCAAACUCACCAGAAAGUUUAUAAAUUCAUAAUUAAUUUUCAUAGCCACA